rnacentral:rRNA from 1 species
GGUGCUUGCACCGCCUGAUUAGUGGCGAACGGGUGAGUAACACGUGAGUAACCUGCCCUCCACUUCGGGAUAACCUCGGGAAAUCGUGGCUAAUACCGGAUAUGAGCACUCAUCGCAUGGUGGGUGUUGGAAAGAUUUAUCGGUGGGGGAUGGACUCGCGGCCUAUCAGUUUGUUGGUGAGGUGAUGGCUCACCAAGACGAUGACGGGUAGCCGGCCUGAGAGGGCGACCGGCCACACUGGGACUGAGACACGGCCCAGACUCCUACGGGAGGCAGCAGUGGGGAAUAUUGCACAAUGGGCGAAAGCCUGAUGCAGCGACGCCGCGUGGGGGAUGACGGCCUUCGGGUUGUAAACCCCUUUCAGUAGGGAAGAAGCGAGAGUGACGGUACCUGCAGAAGAAGCGCCGGCUAACUACGUGCCAGCAGCCGCGGUAAUACGUAGGGCGCAAGCGUUGUCCGGAAUUAUUGGGCGUAAAGAGCUUGUAGGUGGCUUGUCGCGUCUGCCGUGAAAACCCGAGGCUCAACCUCGGGCGUGCGGUGGGUACGGGCAGGCUAGAGUGUGGUAGGGGAGACUGGAACUC